AGAGAGAGACAUGCGUGCAUAUCAAUAAGCGGAGGAAAAGAAACUAACAAGGAUUCCCUAGUAACGGCGAGUGAAGCGGGAAGAGCUCAAAUUUGAAAUCCUAAAGGUUUUCCCUUGACGAAUUGUAGUUUAAAGAAGUGUUUUCUGUUGAAGGUUUCGGUAAAAGUUCUUUGGAAUAGGACAUCAUAGAGGGUGAGAAUCCCGUAUUUGACCGUUACUUUCAGCUGUGUGAUACACUUUCAAAGAGUCGGAUUGUUUGGGAAUGCAGUCCAAAAUGGGUGGUAAAUUUCAUCUAAAGCUAAAUAUUGGCGAGAGACCGAUAGCGAGCAAGUACCGUGAGGGAAAGAUGAAAAGAACUUUGAAAAGAGAGUUAAACAGUACGUGAAAUUGUCAAAAGGGAAGCGUUUGACACCAGUGUUGUUUUUCUGAAAAUCAAUUAAAGAACUGUUUAUGCUAAGUUGUUUAGACUUUAUCAGCUAACUGUUUAGUUUUGAGCUUUUCUUUAAUGCACUUUUCAGCUAACAAGUCAACAUCAAUUUCUUUUGCUGUAAAAAAGCUUGAGGAAGGUGGCUUGAGAUUCGUCUUAAGUGUUUAUAGCCUCUUGCCUAUGCAGUCGGAGAGAUUGAGGUCUGCAGCGUAGAUCCUUCGGGGCUAAAUGCAUUUGUGCUAAGUUAUAGCAUUUUAUAGACAACUUGUUGACUAUGAUUUGUCUUGUAGCUUACUCGCUUAUGUUAUUUUACCUACGCUUAGGAUGUUGAGCGCAUGUCUCUCUCU
rnacentral:rRNA from 1 species